rnacentral:rRNA from 1 species
UACAGAGGUCUCAAGCGUUGUUCGGAUUCAUUGGGCGUAAAGGGUGCGUAGGCGGCGGGGUAAGUCGGAUGUGAAAUCCUGGGGCUCAACCUCAGAACUGCAUUCGAUACUGCCCUGCUUGAGUACUGGAGAGGAGACUGGAAUUUACGGUGUAGCAGUGAAAUGCGUAGAUAUCGUAAGGAAGACCAGUGGCGAAGGCGAGUCUCUGGACAGUUACUGACGCUGAGGCACGAAGGCCAGGGGAGCAAACGGG